CCGAAAGCUGCGUGCCAGAGAGAGAGAGAGAGAGAGAGAGAGAGAGAGAGAGAGAGAGAGAGAGAGAGACGUCAAGGACAAAGAGUGUGUGUGUGUGUGUGUGUGUGUGUGUGUGUGUGUGUGUGUGUGUGUGUGAAAGGAAAAUGAUGGUAAAAAUAAAGCAACUGGUGGAAGAAAGUGGAGAUGGCAAGGAAGAAGAAGAAGAAGAAGAGGAAGAGGAGGAGGAGGAGGAGGAAAAAAAGAAAGAAAAAGAAAGAUAUAUGAGAUAGGAAUGAAAAAAAAGAGGAUGAAGAGGGAAGACAUGAGAUUAGAUAGAGAUAGAUAGAUAGAUAGAGAGAGAGAGAGAGAGAGAGAGAGAGAGAGAGAGAGAGAGAGAGAGAGAGAGAGUCGCAUCCCCACACCGCAGCCUUUUUCUCUCUAUGACGCAGGAGGAAGGAGCGAUUUGAAACAUACUUAACCUUAUUAAACCUUUGCCUAGUCUUUGUGUGGCGUCCCAUCCACCGCCCAUCCACCCCUAUCCACUCGCCUCAUUCCACCCUCUUCCUUACACUCUAUACUCUAUUCUCUCUUCUGGUAUAGUCUCUCUUCUACGCAACUCUUCUUUUUCUACUUCUUCUUCUAUUUUGCUUCUGUUUUUCUGGUUCCGUCUUUUCUCUCUUUCUCUGUUAUUGCAAUUUUCUCUUGUUACUCUCUUCUUUCUCUUCUCAUCCACUUUUUCUUUCUCUCAUCUUCUUAUUUGUUUCUCUUUUUCUGCUUCUGUCUUUUCUCUCUUUCUCUGUUAUUCCAGUUUUCCUGUUACUCUCUUCUUUCUCUUUUAGUCCACUCUUUCUUUCUCUCAUCUUCUUAUUUGUUUCUCUUUUUCUGCUUUCGUUAUUUCUCCUUUUCCCUGUUAUUCCCCUUUUUCCGUAUGCCAUUAUCUUCAUUCUCUUCUCAUCCACUCCUUCUUCCUCUCAUCUCUUCUCUUUCUGCUUCCUUAUCCUCUCCUUCGUUUUUAUUUCUUUCCUUUUGUCUUUUUCUUUUUUGUUGUUAUUUCAUCUUUCUUUGCAUCCAUUCCCAUAUACUUCUCUCAUCCACUCUCUUCCUCUCAUCUCCUCUCUUCCUACUCCCUCAUUCCUCUUUGCUCCUCUUUAUUCUUUGUAUUUUCCUCUUACUUCUAUUGCUGGUUUGUCAUUCCUCUUUUGUCCCAUAACAGUGAAGUGAAAAGAGUGUGAAAUGAAAGCAAAAAAGUAUAGGAAAAGUAAAUGAACGAAAUGUAAUGAAAAAUAAAAGUUAGAAAAGACAGGUGAGGGAGGGAAGAUGGUACAGGUCUCCCCAGGUAACGAGGGCAGGUGAGUGAUGCGCAGGUAAUUGACAGGCGGACAGGUAACUGAUUAGUGGGUUGACUGGUGACUGACACACACACACACACACACACACACACACAGAUACACGAGACUGACGGGUACAUAUUAAAAGGAAAAAAAAGACUGACGAAAAACAGAUUGACAACACUAACGAGGAACACUUUAGCAUAUUGAGCGAGUUGAAUGACACACAGGUACUCAGGACUUACAGGCGGCUGAUUGUAGAUGAAAAAAAAAGACGAAUAGACCAAAUUGAAAAAAAAAAGACGAAUAGACCAAAUUGAAAAAAAAAACAAAAAAACAGAUUGACAAUAUUAAUGACGAAAACUUUAGCAUAUUGAAAACGCUGACUCACACAAAGGGACGCAACACUAGUAGGCAGAUAACUGAUUCAAGAAAAAAAAAAAAAACGACGAGAGAGAACAUUAGAAAAAAACCCAGAUUGGCAAUAUUAAUGAGGAAAAAGUUUAGCAUAUUGAAAACGUUCACUCACACAAAGGGACGCAACACUUGCAGGCAGAUAACUGAUUCAAGAUAAAAAAUAAAAAAAUACGACUAGAGAGAACAUUAGAAAAAACAGAUUGACAAUAUUAACGAGGAACUCUUUAGCAUAUCGAAAAGGGACGCAACACUUAACAGGCAGAUAACUGAUUCAAGAUAAAAAAAAACCCGACCAGAGAGAAUAUUAGGAAAAAAAAAACAUUGACAAUUAUAAUGAAGAAAACUUUAGCAUAUUGAAAAGGGACGCAACACUAACAGGCAGAUAACUGAUUCAAGAUAACUAAUUACGACUUGGGAGAACGUAAAAAACAAAAAAACAAAAAACAAAAAACCAUCAGCUGCAAUAACGAGGACGAAUCUAAGAGUCGUAUUUUGGGAAACCUGAUUCACACACUGAUUAGAGGUAUAAAAAUGACAAUCAGAACACACAGUAAGGAUAUGAGAUUGACAACACCAACGAGAGAGAGAGAGAGAGAGAGAGAGAGAGAGAGAGAGAGAGAGAGAGAGAGAGAGAGAGAGAGAAGAGAGAUAGAAGGAGAGAAAGUAAUGAUGUAACAGAGAGAGAGAAAUGGAAGGAAAGGAAAAGGAAGGAAAGAAAGAAAGAAAAGGAAAGAGAGAGGAAGGAAAGAAGAAAAAAAGGAAGCAAAGAGAAGAAAAAGAGAGGGAAAAGAAAGGUUAAUAGGAGAGAGAGAGAGAGAGAGAGAGAGAGAGAGAGAGAGAGAGAGAGAGAGAGAGAGAGAGAGAGAGAGAGAGAGAGAGAAUACCUAUCUAAACCUGAUUCUGACAAAGGUAGGUACGCAAAACGAACAGGUAGCUGAUCAAAGGUAAAAUAAUUAACAGGUAACAGGUUAAGAGUAAGAGACCAAAAGAAACAGAGCAAAGUAUGAGAAAGUAUGGAAAAGUAAAGGAAAAAAAAUGUAACUUGAAUUGAGCAGCGGGAUUUUUUUUCAUAUUUAUUAUCUUUUUUAUAAGAACAUAAGGACAUAAGGAGUCUGCAAGAGGCCUUUGAACAGACUUCUCUGCCGUAAAACAAAAACAAAAAAACGACAAUAAGAAACAAACGACUAAGAGAAAACAACAACAAAAAACAAAAACAAAAGGAACAGACAAAACAACCCGCUCCCCAAAAAAACAACAACCCUAACAAACGACUAACAAAGAUCACAUUAACAAAUAAAGAAACAACAGACAUAAAACAAAACACUAACAGAACCAACCGACUCCCAGGAAACGGAUCAGUGGUAACGAAGAGACCAAUUCCAGGUAACAGACACGGGGGUGGGGGGUGGGGGGGGAGGAGGAGGGGGCAGCGCAGGUAGAUGCCAGGUAGUAACAGGCGGAAAGGUGAGGCAACAGGACGGUAGCUGGGCGAGAGGGAGGAGAGAGAGAGAGAGAGGGAGAGAGGACGUGGGGUGUGUAAAAAAUGAGUUCGGUUGGGGUGAAGGGGUGAAGGGCGUUGGGGGGGGGGGAAGGGAAGCAACAGGGUAUUACUAAUGAAGGGGUGUUGGGGUGAUGAGCGCUGGGGUGAAGGGGAGUAUCAGGCUGUGUGUUGAGGGUGCAUAUUUAAGUCUUGGUUUAAAGGGGUGUUGAGCUGAAGAGCGCUGGGGUGAAAGGGAGCAUGAUAUCUUGUGUUAAGGGGGUGUUGUAGUGUUGAUUUAAAGGGGUGAGUUGAGGGAGAAAUAAAGUGAGAGAGAAGAGGAGAGAAAAUACAGACAAAGUAGGAAUAUGACGUAAAGAAAUAGGAAAGAAAAACAAUAGAAGAGGAAAGGAAAAAUGAAGAAGAGGGGGACGAAAUAAGAGGAGGAGAAGAAGAGUAAGUAAUUUUUCUUUUUACAGCAAAGGAGAGAGUUCAAAGGCACACAAAAAAACAAUAAUGGAAAAGAAGAAUAGAUUGUCAUGGGAAAGUAAUAUAUGAAAGGGAGAAAGGAGUAUGAGGCUUUGAGUGCUGAAUUGACAUGUAUAUCCUACCUGUUCUAGUAUUCAGUGACCAGAGUGAUGGGGUAGCGUCGACAUGUGAUAAACGGGUACUUUACAUGACAAGGUUAACAUGGGGUAUACAGAGUAGUUACGUUGAUGAUAAACUAACAUGCAUUGAAGUGACCAGACUGAUAGAGUAGCGUUGACGUGUACUGACUGGAGUACUUUGAUAACAUGUGGUAUGGAGUGGUUACGUUGGUGAUACUGACAUGCAUUGAAGUGACCAGACUGAUAAAGAGUACCGCUGACGUGUGUUAAAUGGAGUACUUUGAUAUGAGGCAUAGAGUGGGUACUUCGGGUGCUGAACUGACAUGCAUUACUCAUAUCUGCUCUAGCAUUCAGUGACAUGAGUUUGAAGUGACCAAACUGACAGUGUACCGUUGACGGGUGGUAACUUGAUGACAUGUGGUAGAGUGGGUAUUUUGGGUGCUGAACUGACAUGCAUUACUCAUAUCUGCUCUAGCAUUCAGUGACAUGAGUUUGAAGUGACCAGACUGAUAGUGUGCAGCUGACUUGUGAUAACUGGAGCACUAGAAAGAUAAAAUAAUGCGCAUGGUGGAUUGUUUUUUGUUUUGUUUUUCACGUUUAUAUCAUGUCAUUUCAUACGUUUCAGCGAGCACUACUAUUGUUUCGAAGUGACGUGACUUACAAUGACUGGUACUACAAGAAAAACAUGAGUUGACGUGUUACAAUGCUAAGCCUGAGCAUGGUGGAUUGCUUUUCUUUCUCUUAUUCACGUUUGUAUCAUGUCAUAUUCGUUUCACUACUUUUGUGUUGCCAUGACGUGACAUACAAUGACCGAUACAGCAAAAAAAAAACAUGAUUCGACGUGAUACAAUGACAAGUAUUCACUCUCUCGGCCGCCCUCACUUCAGAAUAUCAUGACUCACGACACGCAUUUGAAAGUGAGAUGAAAUUACAAUGACAAAUACGAAAAAGGGACACCGGUACUAUGAUGUCAAAAUAUUAUAUAAUGACAGACAUUAACUAUCACGCUACCGCCAAAAUGUCACGACUCAUGCACGCGCUUUGAUGAAACGAAUUACAAUAACAUCUAGUGAACAAAAAUGACUAUUGCAAUCACGGUAACUAUCAUGAAUACGUAGACACAGAAAAUGCUAAAGAAACAAUGAAUAUGAUGAAAACUAUUGGGUAAAUCUGCACUGGGAAUACCACGAUGCCAGAGAAUAGUUGGUUAUAGUACUGAAGAUUGUAUAAUGUGAGUAGACGCUUAAAAGGAGGAGGAGGAGGAGGAGUAACGAAUGAAGGAAGGAAGGGUAAGGUGUUGAAGGAGGUUAACGAGUACAAUGUAAGGUUGAAGUGCCGUGAAAUGAAGGAGUAAGGAUUGAAGGAGGAAGGAAGAGGUGUCAGGAAGGAAAGAGUUGAACGAAUACAAUGUAGAAUCGAAGUACCGUGAAACCAAGGAGUAAGGAUUGAAGGAGGAAGGAAGAGGUGGAAGGAAGGAAAGAGUUGAACGAACACAAUGUAGAAUCGAAGUACCGUGAAACCAAGGAGUAAGGAUUGAAGGAGGGAGGAAAGAGUUGAACGAAUACAAAGUGAGAUCGAAGUACCGUGAAACCAAGGCGUAAGGAUUGAAGGAGGAAGGAAGAGGUGUAAGGAAUGGAAGAGACAAAGGAGUACAAAGUGAGAUCGAAGUGCCGUGAAACAAAGGAGCAAAGAUUGAAGGAGGAGGGAAGAGGUGUCAGGAAGGAAAGAGUUGAACGAAUAGAAUGUGAGGUUGAAGUGCCGUGAAACCAAGGAGUAAGGAUUGAAGGUGAAGGGAAGAGGUGUAAGAAAUGGAAGAAUCAAAGGAGUACAAAGUGAGAUCGAAGUGCCGUGAAACAAAGGAUUAAGAGGUUGAAAUUAUGAUCCAAUGCAUUAAUACGGCGGGAAGGGAGCAGCAGGAGGACUCGGCGGUCGAUGUAGGAGUAUAAUGCGAGUCACACUACAAGAACAGUACGCUGACGUCACAGUACCACCAUGUAUAUAUAGAAACCGGGCCGAGCGCCGGGAAUAACCAUUACGUGGCGGGAGUACCGUGCGAAACCCCGACGCAUGCUUGAACAGACUAACGAAACACUAGAAUCAGCACCUCGGAAGUCAGGACCUCGAAAGUCAGCACUCGGAACCGAACCCAACACCGGCGUCAGCACCCAGAGAGCAGGGGUCAGU